GUGACGCUGGCGGCAUGGUUAAGACAUGCAAGUCGAACGAGAAGCAGGUCUUCGGACCUGUGGAAAGUGGCGAACGGGUGCGUAACACGUGAGCAACCUGCCCUCGAGUGCGGGAUAGCCCACCGAAAGGUGGAUUAAUACCGCAUGUGGCCUCUUGCUGCAUGGCAAGAUGGCUAAAGCUCGAAAUGGUGCUAGAGGAGGGGCUCGCGGCCUAUCAGCUUGUUGGUGAGGUAAAGGCUCACCAAGGCUAUGACGGGUAGCUGGUCUGAGAGGAUGGCCAGUCACACCGGGACUGAGACACGGCCCGGACACCUACGGGUGGCAGCAGUUUCGAAUCAUUCACAAUGGGCGAAAGCCUGAUGGUGCAAUGCCGCGUGGAGGAAGACGGCCCUAGGGUUGUAAACUCCUGUCAUUGGGGAACAACAAGCGGGUUCGUAGCCCGCCCUGAGUUAACCCAAAGAGGAAGAGGUGGCUAACUCCGUGCCAGCAGCCGCGGUAAUACGGAGACCUCGAGCGUUACUCGGAUUCACUGGGCGUAAAGGGUGAGUAGGCGGCCAAGUGUGUCAGGUGUGAAAUCCCGGGGCUCAACCCCGGAACUGCGCCUGAAACUACUUGGCUAGAGUCUCGGAGAGGAUAGUGGAAUUCCGGGUGUAGCGGUGAAAUGCGUAGAUAUCCGGAGGAACACCAGAGGCGAAGGCGACUAUCUGGACGAGAACUGACGCUGAGUCACGAAAGCGUGGGUAGCGAAAGGGAUUAGAUACCCCUGUAGUCCACGCCGUAAACGUUGCGCACUAGGUUUCGGGGGAAUCAACCCCUUCGGAGCCCAAGCUAACGCGUUAAGUGCGCCGCCUGAGGACUACGGCCGCAAGGCUAAAAC
rnacentral:rRNA from 1 species